GUGUCAGCAGCCGCGGUAAUACGUAGGUGACGAGCGUUGUCCGGAAUUAUUGGGCGUAAAGGGAGCGCAGGCGGUUGAAGUAGUCUGAUGUGAAAGCCCACGGCUUAACCGUGGAAGGUCAUUGGAAACUGUUCAACUUGAAUACAGAAGAGGUAAGUGGAAUUCCAAGUGUAGCGGUGAAAUGCGUAGAUAUUUGGAGGAACACCAGUGGCGAAGGCGACUUACUGGUCUGUAAUUGACGCUGAGGCUCGAAAGCGUGGGUAGCAAACAGGAUUAGAUACCCCCGUAGUCC
rnacentral:rRNA from 1 species